rnacentral:rRNA from 1 species
GACGAACGAUGGCGGCGUGCUUAACACAUGCAAGUCGAACGAAGUGGCGAACGGGUGAGUAACGCGUAAUCAACCUGCCCUUCAGAGGGGGACAAAAGUUGGAAAAGACUGAUAAUACCGCAUAAUGAAGGAGGGGAGUGCGUCUGAUUAGCUAGUGGGAGGGGUAACGGCCCACCAAGGCGUUGAUCAGUAGCCGGUCUGAGAGUCUGAACUGCCACAUUGGGACUGAGACCCGUCCCAGACUCCUACGGGAGGCAGCAGUGGUGAAUCUUCCGCAAUGGACGAAAGUCUGACGGCGCAACGCCGCGUGAGUGAUGACGGCCUUCGGGUUGUAAAGCUCUGUUAAUCGGUACGCGGUACCGGAAUAGAAAGCCACGGCUAACUACGUGCCAGCAGCCGCGGUAAUUC